UACGGGGGGGGUAAGCGUUGUUCGGAAUUACUGGGCGUAAAGGGCUCGUAGGCGGCCAACUAAGUCAGACGUGAAAUCCCCAGGCUUAACCUGGGAACUGCGUCGGAUACUGGAUGGCUUGAAUUCGGGAGAGGGAUGCAGAAUUCCAGGUGUAGCGGUGAAAUGCGUAGAUAUCUGGAGGAAUACCGGUGGCGAAGGCGGCAUCCUGGACCGGUAUUGACGCUGAGGCGCGAAAGCCAGGGGAGCAAACGGG
rnacentral:rRNA from 1 species